GAGUUUGAAAUUCUUGCUUCAGGCCAUAUGGAGUGGAUAUUCCUUCCAGAAGGAAAUUACAGACCACUCUCUGUUUCUACUCAACUGCUUUUCACUCCAGGAUGCUUCACCUCUUGGGGCCUUCCCCAGCAGAGGCCCAGGAUCACCAGCAAAAGGCUUCCCCAAGGGUGGGGCCAGAAGCAGGGCUGCAGAUAUGUGUCCUGAACCUCCCUGCUGGCUCCCUUCAAAGGCUUCAGGCAUAGCAACCUGCCUUUCUGUCUUGUUCAGUCGCCACCAGUCAGCCGUCUGCAGACUUCUCUCCCUCACGUUGUGGCAGAGGAGUUGUACAUUCUCUAGAUUUUAAAAAUGUAUGUUACUUUUUCUUUAAAAAAAAAUUGUCUCUGAAAUAA